AUUAAUGGUAACUGCACCAAGAGCAACUGAAUUCAAAGCCUGUAGGAGAGGUCACAGAGCAUCUUGUUGUGCCACAUGGUGCUGUAGCUCUCCUGAAAGCUACCAGGCCUUGGCUCCAGCUGAGAAAAAGUCCAGAAGAGAUCCACGACUGGUGGGAUUCAUUAGACAUUUUGAACAGAGCUCCUUCUGCCAUGAUUUUCUCUAUUUCACAGUGGACUCAACCAGCAGAACUGGGGAGGAUCAUCACAGACCCAAGACUGCAAAGAUCAGAAGUCUAAUAAAGCCCCCAGAGUGGUUGCCUGCAAUGAGUCCCUUGGGAACUUAUAAGGAUGGCAAUGUGUCACUUCACACUAGAGCAAGAGAAGAGCAGGAAUUCUUUCCCUUAAUGACUGUAGUUCUGUGAAUUGCAGUGUGUGAACUCAGCUGGACCUUGGAUGACAGACUUUCCUAAAAAUGUCCUUUUGGUAUUGUGGCAAAUUCAGACAAUUCAAGGUUGUUCUCUUUGGUACAUUCCUUUUUUGUUUUUUUUUUUUUUUUUUUUUUUUUUUUUUUUUUUUUUUUUUUUUGUUAAUCUCUAGAUGAAGCCUAAGAGUAGUCCAUUAUACUUCUCUUCUCAGUGCUCAGUGGAACAUAUUUCAAAGAGUGGUAAAAACCUGAGCGAAGAAAGACCAAGUUUGGAGCAGAAAACAGUGGUGUUCUUGUGGGGGACAAUUAAAACCUAAAACAUGGGAGUAUGGUUUUUUAGGUCAAAAAAAGAUGUGUGUAAAACAGACCAGGAGGUCUAUGAGAGAAAAUUUCCAUUUCAGCAACAAGCUCUGGGGCUGUGCUAAUGAUCACGUACACCAGAGAGGAGAUGGGUUUCAUGAUGAGUUUCCAGGUAUUUUGCUUCUAUAAUGCAACAUCCUGAAAGAUGAUCAGGCUAGAAUGGAAGAAGAGUGAGAGGAGACAGAAUGAGUGUUUGCAUUCUGGUUUCCCCUCCCUCCCUCUCUCUUGUUCAGUGUGUUUUCCCUGCCUGGAUCAAAUACCUCUGAAGUAUAGGUGCUCUUGGCUGUGGUGUUCCCUGGCACCCAGCACAGAUUGGCACAGAGGUCCCUGGCACAGCUAGGGUGGAAACUGUAGGGUUUUACCCUACUGAAGUCAGAGACUUUCCCACAAAGAGUGUUCCUGUGGAUGCUAGGAGCCUUGGGGAUUAGAAACAUGAAUAUUAUCACUUUAAGUAAGACUGUGUUUAUCUGUGAGGGAGGAGAUACCAUAGCAGUGUCCUGUGACUCUGAAAGCCCCUUCUGAGUGCCACCACAGGGCCCAGGGCUGAGGCAUGGAGGAUGUGGCAGACUCCCUGGGGAUUCCUCCGUGGAGCUAAAGGGAAAAGCUUUCUGUUUCAGCUUCCACAACAGACUUUGACAGAUGGGGAGGUAAAAAAGGCUGCCCCACUUUCACAUGUGAAAAGUCUGCAGUGAUCUGGAGAAUGUCAGGAGGCUGCUCUUGGAGAACACAAGGGACAGAGAAUCCUUCUCAUCCCACUCUCUUCAAGGUGCCUUCAGCAAGAGCUGUAGGGUUUCUUUUCUCCCCCACUGUUGUCAAUAAUUCCUUCCCUUCCUCCCUACCCUGAGGUUAGAGCAGCAAGAGCAGCAGGAUCAAUCUUUCUCCCCAAAGCAUCCAGAACUGGACCAUAACCAUGCAAACUUGCAAGAUGCUGGCACAUUACAGAGUACCUUGCCCAAGGGAAAUUUUGUUCUUUAUUCCCUUUCAGCCAAACUAGAUUUUUAUCCUAAAAUACAUGCUUCCACCUCUUCUAAAAUCCCUUUAAAAGAAAUUGGACAUUUGCAGGCAUGCUUUAGCUGUGAAAGUAGGUGGCUGCAUUUUGUUUAACAGAUGUGUGUUUCCUUGUCUAUAGGCUGUGGAUUUGCUGCAGGGAGUCUGAAAAACUGUGGUCACAUAGCAACUGUAUAUUAACUAAAGCUUUUGAGAGUUGCUGAAAUUAAAGUUUCAAUAGUGUUCAGUGUGCUGGUCAAUGUGCUGAUCUGCACGUGUCCAGCUUUGUUUUGUACUACCUGUCAAAUGAGAAACCAGGGUUUUGCAAUAAUUAUGACUGUUAUUCAGGGAAUUGCUUAGAAAUUAAAGGUCAUCUAGAAAAACAAAAAACAAAAUAAAAUCCAGCCUCAAAAACA
rnacentral:lncRNA from 1 species